rnacentral:rRNA from 1 species
GUUAUAUGGUCAAGUGAAGAAGCGCAUACGGUGGAUGCUUGGCAGUCAGAGGCGAUGAAAGACGUGGUAGCCUGCGAAAAGCUUCGGGGAGUCGGCAAACAGACUUUGAUCCGGAGAUGUCUGAAUGGGGGAACCCAGCCAUCAUAAGAUGGUUACCUUACACUGAAUACAUAGGUGUAUGGAGCGAACCAGGGGAACUGAAACAUCUAAGUACCCUGAGGAAAAGAAAUCAACCGAGAUUCCCUUAGUAGUGGCGAGCGAACGGGGACUAGCCCUUAAGUGGCUUUGAGAUUAGCGGAACGCUCUGGAAAGUGCGGCCAUAGUGGGUGAUAGCCCUGUACGCGAAAAUCUCUUAGUCAUGAAAUCGAGUAGGACGGAGCACGAGAAACUUUGUCUGAAUAUGGGGGGACCAUCCUCCAAGGCUAAAUACUACUGACUGACCGAUAGUGAACUAGUACCGUGAGGGAAAGGCGAAAAGAACCCCGGAGAGGGGAGUGAAAUAGAUCCUGAAACCGUAUGCGUACAAGCAGUGGGAGCCUACUUGUUAGGUGACUGCGUACCUUUUGUAUAAUGGGUCAGCGACUUAUUUUCAGUGGCGAGCUUAACCGAAUAGGGGAGGCGUAGCGAAAGCGAGUCUUAAUAGGGCGUCUAGUCGCUGGGAAUAGACCCGAAACCGGGCGAUCUAUCCAUGGGCAGGUUGAAGGUUGGGUAACACUAACUGGAGGACCGAACCGACUACCGUUGAAAAGUUAGCGGAUGACCUGUGGAUCGGAGUGAAAGGCUAAUCAAGCUCGGAGAUAGCUGGUUCUCCUCGAAAGCUAUUUAGGUAGCGCCUCAUGUAUCACUGUAGGGGGUAGAGCACUGUUUCGGCUAGGGGGUCAUCCCGACUUACCAAACCGAUGCAAACUCCGAAUACCUACAAGUGCCGAGCAUGGGAGACACACGGCGGGUGCUAACGUCCGUCGUGAAAAGGGAAACAACCCAGACCGUCAGCUAAGGUCCCAAAGUUAUGGUUAAGUGGGAAACGAUGUGGGAAGGCUUAGACAGCUAGGAGGUUGGCUUAGAAGCAGCCACCCUUUAAAGAAAGCGUAAUAGCUCACUAGUCGAGUCGGCCUGCGCGGAAGAUGUAACGGGGCUCAAACCAUACACCGAAGCUACGGGUAUCACUUAGGUGAUGCGGUAGAGGAGCGUUCUGUAAGCCUGUGAAGGUGAGUUGAGAAGCUUGCUGGAGGUAUCAGAAGUGCGAAUGCUGACAUGAGUAACGACAAUGGGUGUGAAAAACACCCACGCCGAAAGACCAAGGUUUCCUGCGCAACGUUAAUCGACGCAGGGUUAGUCGGUCCCUAAGGCGAGGCUGAAAAGCGUAGUCGAUGGAAAACAGGUUAAUAUUCCUGUACUUCUGGUUAUUGCGAUGGAGGGACGGAGAAGGCUAGGCCAGCUUGGCGUUGGUUGUCCAAGUUUAAGGUGGUAGGCUGAGAUCUUAGGUAAAUCCGGGAUCUUAAGGCCGAGAGCUGAUGACGAGUUGUCUUUUAGACGACGAAGUGGUUGAUGCCAUGCUUCCAAGAAAAGCUUCUAAGCUUCAGGUAACCAGGAACCGUACCCCAAACCGACACAGGUGGUUGGGUAGAGAAUACCAAGGCGCUUGAGAGAACUCGGGUGAAGGAACUAGGCAAAAUGGCACCGUAACUUCGGGAGAAGGUGCGCCGGUGAGGGUGAAGGACUUGCUCCGUAAGCUCAUGCCGGUCGAAGAUACCAGGCCGCUGCGACUGUUUAUUAAAAACACAGCACUCUGCAAACACGAAAGUGGACGUAUAGGGUGUGACGCCUGCCCGGUGCCGGAAGGUUAAUUGAUGGGGUUAGCUAACGCGAAGCUCUUGAUCGAAGCCCCGGUAAACGGCGGCCGUAACUAUAACGGUCCUAAGGUAGCGAAAUUCCUUGUCGGGUAAGUUCCGACCUGCACGAAUGGCGUAACGAUGGCGGCGCUGUCUCCACCCGAGACUCAGUGAAAUUGAAAUCGCUGUGAAGAUGCAGUGUAUCCGCGGCUAGACGGAAAGACCCCGUGAACCUUUACUAUAGCUUUGCACUGGACUUUGAAUUUGCUUGUGUAGGAUAGGUGGGAGGCUUUGAAGCGUGGACGCCAGUUCGCGUGGAGCCAACCUUGAAAUACCACCCUGGCAACUUUGAGGUUCUAACUCAGGUCCGUUAUCCGGAUCGAGGACAGUGUAUGGUGGGUAGUUUGACUGGGGCGGUCUCCUCCUAAAGAGUAACGGAGGAGUACGAAGGUGCGCUCAGACCGGUCGGAAAUCGGUCGUAGAGUAUAAAGGCAAAAGCGCGCUUGACUGCGAGACAGACACGUCGAGCAGGUACGAAAGUAGGUCUUAGUGAUCCGGUGGUUCUGUAUGGAAGGGCCAUCGCUCAACGGAUAAAAGGUACUCCGGGGAUAACAGGCUGAUACCGCCCAAGAGUUCAUAUCGACGGCGGUGUUUGGCACCUCGAUGUCGGCUCAUCACAUCCUGGGGCUGAAGCCGGUCCCAAGGGUAUGGCUGUUCGCCAUUUAAAGUGGUACGCGAGCUGGGUUUAGAACGUCGUGAGACAGUUCGGUCCCUAUCUGCCGUGGACGUUUGAGAUUUGAGAGGGGCUGCUCCUAGUACGAGAGGACCGGAGUGGACGAACCUCUGGUGUUCCGGUUGUCACGCCAGUGGCAUUGCCGGGUAGCUAUGUUCGGAAUAGAUAACCGCUGAAAGCAUCUAAGCGGGAAACUAGCCUCAAGAUGAGAUCUCACUGGAACCUUGAGUUCCCUAAAGGGCCGUCGAAGACUACGACGUUGAUAGGUUGGGUGUGUAAGCGCUGUGAGGCGUUGAGCUAACCAAUACUAAUUGCCCGUGAGGCUUGACCAUAUAACACCCAAGCAAUU